rnacentral:rRNA from 1 species
UGGGGAAUAUUGGACAAUGGGCGCAAGCCUGAUCCAGCCAUACCGCGUGGGUGAAGAAGGCCUUCGGGUUGUAAAGCCCUUUUGUUGGGAAAGAAAUCUUGCCGGUUAAUACCUGGCGAGGAUGACGGUACCCAAAGAAUAAGCACCGGCUAACUUCGUGCCAGCAGCCGCGGUAAUACGUAGGGUGCGAGCGUUGCCCGGAUUUAUUGGGCGUAAAGGGCGCGUAGGCGGCUCGACACGUUCGUUGUGAAAUCGCCCGGCUCAACUGGGCGGGGUCAGCGGAUACGGUCGAGCUUGAGCAAGCUAGGGGGCAAUGGAAUUCCCGGUGUAGUGGUGGAAUGCGUAGAUAUCGGGAGGAACACCAGUGGCGGAGGCGGUUGCCUGGGGCUUUGCUGACGCUGAGGCGCGAAAGCGUGGGGAGCGAUC